UGGGGAAUAUUGCACAAUGGGGGGAACCCUGAUGCAGCGACGCCGCGUGAGUGAAGAAGUAUUUCGGUAUGUAAAGCUCUGUCAGCAGGGAAGAAGAAAGACGGUACCUGACCAAGAAGCCCCGGCUAACUACGUGCCAGCAGCCGCGGUAAUACGUAGGGGGCAAGCGUUAUCCGGAUUUACUGGGUGUAAAGGGAGCGUAGACGGCAGGGCAAGUCUGGAGUGAAAGGCAGGGGCCCAACCCCUGGACUGCUCUGGAAACUGUCCGGCUGGAGUGCAGGAGAGGUAAGUGGAAUUCCUAGUGUAGCGGUGAAAUGCGUAGAUAUUAGGAGGAACACCAGUGGCGAAGGCGGCUUACUGGACUGUAACUGACGUUGAGGCUCGAAAGCGUGGGGAGCAAACAGG
rnacentral:rRNA from 1 species